GAUGAACGCUGGCGGCGUGCUUAACACAUGCAAGUCGAACGAUGAAGCCCAGCUUGCUGGGUGGAUUAGUGGCGAACGGGUGAGUAACACGUGAGUAACCUGCCCUUAACUCUGGGAUAAGCCUGGGAAACUGGGUCUAAUACCGGAUAGGAGCGUCCACCGCAUGGUGGGUGUUGGAAAGAUUUAUCGGUUUUGGAUGGACUCGCGGCCUAUCAGCUUGUUGGUGAGGUAAUGGCUCACCAAGGCGAAGACGGGUAGCCGGCCUGAGAGGGUGACCGGCCACACUGGGACUGAGACACGGCCCAGACUCCUACGGGAGGCAGCAGUGGGGAAUAUUGCACAAUGGGCGCAAGCCUGAUGCAGCGACGCCGCGUGAGGGAUGACGGCCUUCGGGUUGUAAACCUCUUUCAGUAGGGAAGAAGCGAAAGUGACGGUACCUGCAGAAGAAGCACCGGCUAACUACGUG
rnacentral:rRNA from 1 species